AUACGGAUGUCGCAAGCGUUAUCCGGAUUUAUUGGGCGUAAAGCGCGUCUAGGCGGCUUAGUAAGUCUGAUGUGAAAAUGCGGGGCUCAACCCCGUAUUGCGUUGGAAACUGCUAAACUAGAGUACUGGAGAGGUAGGCGGAACUACAAGUGUAGAGGUGAAAUUCGUAGAUAUUUGUAGGAAUGCCGAUGGGGAAGCCAGCCUACUGGACAGAUACUGACGCUAAAGCGCGAAAGCGUGGGUAGCAAACAGGAUUAGAUACCCUGGUAGUCCACGCCGUAAACGAUGAUUACUAGGUGUUGGGGGUCGAACCUCAGCGCCCAAGCUAACGCGAUAAGUAAUCCGCCUGGGGAGUACGUACGCAAGUAUGAAACUUAAAUGAAUUGACGGGG
rnacentral:rRNA from 1 species